UACGGAGGGUGCGAGCGUUAUCCGGAUUCACUGGGUUUAAAGGGUGCGUAGGUGGGAAUGUAAGUCAGUGGUGAAAUCUCUGAGCUUAACUCAGAAACUGCCAUUGAUACUAUGUUUCUUGAAUUUUCUGGAGGUCAGCGGAAUAUGUCAUGUAGCGGUGAAAUGCUUAGAUAUGACAUAGAACACCAAUUGCGAAGGCAGCUGGCUACAGGGAUAUUGACACUGAGGAGCGAAAGCGUGGGGAGCGAACAGG
rnacentral:rRNA from 1 species